GGGCCCGUGGGAUUAGUCGAGAUACGCGCAAGCUGGCCUGGACACCCACGUUAAACUAAAAAAAAAAAUUGUAAUCCUGGUUUUCUUCUUAAUUUUCCAAUUGCUAUUGUUUUGUAGUUGCAGAUUUUUUUUAAAAAAAAUUAAAAUUUAUGAUUGGUAUUGAAUGUUUUUUUUACACCCAACUCAAGUUAAAAAACGAGUCAGCCAAAUCCAAAACUGGCCAUUAAAUUAGGUUGGGUUUAGUAGAAGUGCUCCAGUUUAUUGGAGGGUGUUUGAAAGUGUGGUUGCGGUUGUUUUUCAAAAUAUUUUUUACUCGGAAAAACAUCAAAAUAAUAUUUUUUUUAUUUUUAAAAGAUUAUUUUUGACAUUAGCGCAUCAAAAUGAUCUUAAAACACCAAAAAAUAUUAAUCUAAAAUAAAAAAAAUAAUUUUUUUAAUUUUUUUUUAAAAACACAAAAAUAAACAUGAUUUAAAUAAACAUAUCCACCAUCACCAGCAAUCAUGGAGUGCAAGUCUUGGAAAGGAAGCAUUGAACGUUAGGAUAGGAAGUAUUAGUAAAUAUAAUAACAUAUUUCCAUUAUUUAGAGCUUGUAAUGUUUUUUUAAUUAAUAUGGAUGUUCAAAUCAACUUACACGCACCUCGAUUAAUCCUACGGGUCCUGAAGUCAACGACCAUGUAAAUCUCUAAUGACCUUGAGAUUUGUAGAACUUGAACUAGUAAUUUUUAGAAAACAAACCUAGAACUCGAUACUUAUUUAAAGCAUGGAUUUUUGCUCUUGGCCAGAAUUAUAUAUAUUCUUUGUACUCUUAACCCAACAAAUUCCAUUAAUAUUAGAGACGAAAUAUUUCCUUAUAUAUAAAAUAAAAUAAAAUAGAGACGGAAUUGACAGGAAUGCUUAUUUAAUUACUUGUACUUUUCGUUCAAAUUUGAAUCAUAAAAGAGGUACGUAGUAAAAAUAUAAUUUCCAUGGAUAUAUUAAUUUAAUUCAAAUGUAGAUGACUUUAUUUAGGAUCCGAUCACUAAAGAAUUUAGUUUUGUAUUCAAAAUAUAAUUUAAUUAAAAAUAUAAUGUUGAAAAGCACCCUUAUAUAGUUGAAUAAAUAAAAUAAAUUUAGAAAAGAGCUCCUAGGGCAGAGGCUAUGGGGUAGUCUUUUUAAAAGUCCACUUUCACAUAAAAUCUGAUCCAAAGGAUAAUAAAUAAAUAUGAUCGAAAUGCAUGGUCGGUCCAGCAAUCAAGAUUUCGUGAGAAUCCGAAUCAUGUUGAUGGCACUACUCCCUUUCACAUUUAUUAUUAUUAUUAUUAUUAUUAUUAUUACUGUUUACUCAGAUUCAUUUCCACAGUGCUACAGCUGGCUUGAAAUUUCUUUUUACAACAAUUGUUUUUGAAAUUAAUAUAAUUAAGUUUCAUCUCUACUUAGCUAGAUUAAUUGAGUUUGAUUAUGUUAAUUUUUAAAUCAAUUUAAAAUAAAACUCGAUUUAAAUUAAGUUUUAAAUUAACAAAUUACUAGAUUUAUCUUCGUUAUAAAAACAUGUUAAUUUUUAGGAUAAACAAAACUCAAUCCCCAACCUAUAUAGUAAAUCACAAAUCAAUCCUCAACUUUCAACAUUAUGUAGAUUUUGGCUCAAAAUUCAUUAGGAGAACUCAUUAAUUCAUCCCUUAGUUUAGCACUAAAAUUCCAUUAUUUAAUUAAUUCCAUUAUUUAAUUAUGCUAGCUGAAAUUUUAGAUUCAGCUCACUUCAUUUUCUUACAAAAUUUAAAUUCCCAACAACACAAUUAAAAUGAGAUAUAGAAGAUAGCAAUCUCGACAUUUCCUUCACCAUUCUAAUGCCACUAUUAUAAAACUCGAAUGAUUUUGAUAGGUCAAUUCAGAACUUGGUUGACUUGAAAUCUCGAUCAAUUUAUACUUAACAAAAAAUAAAAAAAUAAAUUGAUUUGAAUAACUUAGUUAAAAUUAAUUAAUUUUUUCAAAAUAAUAUGAUUUUAACUUAUUUUUUUAUUUAAAAAAAUAAUCUGGGUCAAGCCUACAAUGCAAAAGUUGUAGCCCGUUACCACAUUUGUUUUAUAACAUGUGAUUCCAACUUUAUCCAGACUCGAUCUUGAAUAAAGUUUAAUAACUAUGAAAAAAACCUUCAUCACUAAAACAAAUGGAAAAAAAAAAAAAAACUGUACACAAUGAGCCUUCCUGACAAAAUAGCAUCUUAAAUAAAAAGUUUCUUCUAGAAUCUGAAUGUCCAUUAAAAAUAAUGUCCAUUAAAAAAUAUGGUUAAUAUGGUAAUUUUCAAAGAAUGAUGUUUUGAUAUUGAAGUCCUUCUCAAUCAUUUUUCAGAGAUUUGUUUUUCAUAAAUUAUAAAAUGUCAAUAUUGUACACAAAUUUUUUUUUUUUUUUGGAAUAAAUCCGCGAUGAAUUUGUAUUUAUCCCUUGUUUUCUAUUCGGGAAAUGAUGCAACUAACACGAAAUUAACACAAAGGAGCCAUAGCUUCCUUCCAUUGGAGAAUCAUUAAAUAAGACAGGUCAUAGUGCCAUAAGCCAUGUUCAUACUCUCUCUCUCUCUCUCUCUCUGCAUGGAAAUGUGUCUGAUAUAACCACAACAACGGUUAAUUUGCCUCCUCUCCCACUUAAACACCAAGCCUUUCGAUAGAUCCAUCAAAGCCUCCUUCUCUACGUCCAAGGUCUGUGCUGCAGACAUGCCCAGAUCCUAUUUAGCCAGGUAUUUAUUUAAUUUGCUGUUUUAUCCAAAACAUCUGCUUCUUCAUGAGCGCUAGCAUGCCCAUAAACAUUACUAGCCAUGCCAUUUUAUCCCCUCGUUUUCUAAUUAUCUUCUGCUGAAAACUAUAGAGGGCUCAAGUUUAUUGCUGAUGAUGUGUUGAGGAAGCAAGGAAGAAAUUAUUAUUCAACUGGUGGUUGCAGAAGGUAAGUUCAUCAUCUUCCCAGCUAGCUUAUUUAUAGAUCACUCAUGACUCUAAAUUGGAGUUGCAAGUGAUGUUUUCUUGAUUCAUACCAUUUGUGUAUAUAUACAUGGUUGAUGUUAAACCAAAUUUAAAGCUUAAUUUUCUGGAUGAGUUUCUAAGAAUUCUUGGUUGAAUCAUCCCAGGAUUCAUGCCUGAUCAUCACCUUGAUUAGUUAAUUAGCUAGGCUCACGAGUAAUGCUAUUUUUUAAAAAAAUUCCUUUUGAAUUUCUCGUGGGAAGAUUUCCGCCAUUGAAUAUAUUCUGCUGAAUGGGAUUUGAUUUAAAAAAAAACGUAUUUAUUGGAUGUGUAUGAAUCUUAUAAUAAAAAAGAAUUUCUUGAAAUGAUUUCGAAAAACUCUGUAGUAAAAUUGAUUAAUUCCUUGCUCUGAUUCCUCAGUUUAUGUGUGUGGAUGAAUUGACACCGUUUGGGAAUACGGGUGUAAAUCUCGUUUCUAAAACAAUUUAAUUUAUUUUGCUAAAAUUUAAUAUAUUUUAUAUGUUUUAAAUCGUUGUAAUAUCCUGAUAUCAAAAAUAAUUUUUUUUUUUUAAAAAAAUUAUUAACAUGUAUUUUAGCAUGAAAAAUUAUUUGAAAAGCAACCACAACUACAACCACACUGUAAACAAAAUUAAUAAAUCCUAAACCUCCUUCUACUCAACCUAGUUCAUAUAAAAAGUUAAUUGUUGCAAUUUUCAGUCUUAUCUUAUUAAUUGAUUUUUUUUUUUAUUAACGCUACCAGUCUAGGUAUCCCGGUGAGGACGUGAGAAAUAUUUUAAAAAUUAUGAAUAAUUUAUUCACGAGUCACCUUCAAGUUAUAAAAACAAAACAGAGUUGACUAACAGCCUCCACCACGCGGGCAAGCUUUUGCAACGUGAUGUUUGCUCAGAAAAUUGCCAUAAAUGUUGCAUCCUUCCAUGUUCUCAUUCCGCUGAUCUAGCUAGGCCACCACUUUUACAACUCUUAUGGCCAAAAUGCCUGCCUAUUCUUGUUCACAAAUCCUUUCAAGAGUACUGGUGGGCAAAUUAGAUGCAACCUUGUUUUGUUGGACUUUUUUCUGCGCAAAUAUAUAUAUAUAUAUAUAUAUAUAUAUAUAUAUAUAUAUAUAUUCAUUAAACAAAUAUAUAUAUAUAUAUAUAUAUAUAUAUAUAUAUAUAUAUUCAUUAGACAAAUCGAUCUAACUUUGUAGGUUAACCCGAGAACUUGUUGAUCCAAAACUUGACAUGAAUAUCUAACCGAUCUAACUUUAUAGGUCAACUCGAGAAUUUGUUUACCCAAAACUUGACAUGGGUUGGAGUUGUCAUUGAACUGGAUUGAUAAUUAACCUAUGUAAACUCAAAAUGAUCUGAUAAGGAUUAGAUUAAUACAAUCAAACCGGAUUCAAAUCUGGUCGAAACCCAAUUAAUUACUUAUUUUAUUUUUUAUUUUUUUAUAUUUAAAAUAAUAUAAUCAUCUUUAAGAUGUAAUUAGAUUGAUUCACCUAUUUUCUAAAUUGAAAAGACGUACGUCAAUAUCAAAGCAAUAUUCAGUACAAAACACAAAUUUGUAUUAGCAUAUUGUUUAUUGAGCUUUGCGCGCACACAUAUUUUAUCUCCGAGCAGGCUAGAAGGCAAGGUGGCUUUAAUAACAGGAGGUGCGAGUGGCAUUGGCAAGACCGCAGCCCACGAAUUCAUCAAGCAUGGAGCACAAGUCAUAAUCGCUGACAUGGAUUCACAAAUUGGUCCACAAGCUGCCAAAGAGCUGGGUCCUGCAGCCCACUUUGUCCAGUGCGACGUCACAGUGGAGGCUCAGCUGGAAAAGGCAGUGAUGAUUGCCAUGACAGACUAUGGGAAACUUGACAUAAUGUACAACAACGCAGGGGUAGCAGGGCCAUCUUUUCCACCGAGCAUCGCAGACCUUGAUCUAAAUGAAUUUGACAAGGUCAUGCAAGUCAAUGUCAGAGGCACGGUGGCGGGGAUAAAGCACGCCGCACGAGCGAUGAUACCUGCAGGCUCAGGGUGUAUUCUCUGUACAUCUAGUAUCAGUGGACUCAUCGGCGGGGCUGGCUCGCAUUCGUACUCAGCGUCAAAAUCUACAAUCCCUGGGGUUGUCAAGUCUGUGGCCAGCGAGCUAUGCAGGAAUGGGAUUAGGAUCAACUGCAUUUCACCGGGUCCGAUUCCGACCCCACUCUCCUUGGCUCAGAUAGGCCUGAUUUAUCCACGCGCCACCCAAGAACAGUUGGUUGAGAUCGUGAAUGGGCUAGGGCAGCUGAAGGGGGCUAAGUGUGAAGGAGCAGAUGUGGCCGAAGCUGCUCUGUAUUUGGCAUCAGAUGAAGCAAAGUACGUAACUGGGCAUAACCUUGUUGUGGAUGGAGGGUUCACCUGCUUUAAAGAUCUUCCAUUCCCUUCUCCUCAUGAGAUUCUGUAACUGAUAUUUUCCAUUUUCACACCUUUUGGCUUGAUCAUCAAUCACUUUGAGGUGUUUUUUUUUUUUUUUUUAAAUGUUUGAAUUAAUUUAUAUAAACUUUGAUUAAUUUUCCAGACUCUAAAAUUAACCAAUAUAUAAACCUUCAAAAUUUAUAUUACUGGAACUUAUUUCUUGUGAACCUUAAAAAACAACUGCAUGAAAAUCCAUAAAGGCCAUAAAAUAAUAUAAAUUUAUAGGGAGUGCGGUGAGAAUUGCCAUUUAAAAUGUUUUAAAUUUAAAAAUAUAUUAAAAUAAUAUUUAUUUUUAUUUUUUAAAAAUUAUUUAUAACAUCACUUAAUUAAAAUAAUUAUUUUAAACAAAAAAAAAUAGAUUUUUUUAUCCUAAAUACUGCUAUUGGUAGCAUACCAAAAACCAUUCAUACUAAAAGUUCAAACCAUUAAUUACCAUGAGAUUCCAGGACAUCGUUAUAUAUUACUAGCUUACAAGUGUUAAAUUUCGUUUUCUUGGCAUUUUCUUAAUGAUAUAUAGAGAUCCAUAAUCAGAAAAAAAAUUAAUGGUUUGAACUUUUAGUAUGAAUGAUUUAGUUUUUAUAAAAAAAUUUAAAAUAUAUUAAAAUAAUAUUUUUUAUUUUUAAAAUUUAUUUUUAAUAUCAAUACAUUUAAACAAUUUAAAAAUAUAUAUAUUUUUUAAUUUUUAAAAAGAACAGCAAAAACAAAUGGUUUAAUCUCUAGGGUAGGGGUGAUCAUUUUCGGUUUGGUUCGGUUUUUAUAAAAAAAAACCAAACCGAUUUUUUUUUUUAAAAAAACCAAAAUCGGUUCAAACAGACCGGUUUCGGUUCGGUUUUUUAGGACAAAAAUCAGUUCAAACUGGUUUGGCUCAGUUUUGGCUAGGUUUUUUCCGGUUUGGCUCGGUUUUGACUCGGUUUGGCUCGGUUUUUUUUCAGUUUGGAUUCGAUUUGAUUCAGUUUUUUUGGUUUCAGGCUUCUAAAACCGAACCGGUUGAUUUUUUUAAAAUUUUAAUCGGUUUUUUUUCACAGUUAGGUUUUUUCAGUUUUUUUUUUUAGUUUUCUCAGUUUUUUGGUUUUUUUGCUCACCCUCGUGUGUGAGUGGAACUCAUGAUUUUAAAAACUACCUGAAAAAAAAAGGGUUUUUUUUAUAAAUUAUACUUACUUAUCCUUAAAUCAUCAAACAUACAAAAUUGAUUUAAUUAUCAGGCUAUCCUUUGUUUCAUGAGAAAUUUGUUUUGCAAAAUCAUCGAAGACUCAUAUUUUAUUAGUUAGAAAAAUUCAUUUUUGUUUGAAGUUUUCCACGACUUCAUAUUAUAUAUAUAUAAUUUAUUAAAUAAUAUAAUAAAUCAUGAUAUAUAUUAUAUACAACCAAACAUUAUAUUAUAAAUUUAAUAAAGUCCAAAGCAUAACCCAUUGGCUAUUCGAAGAGCUUUUCCUUGUUCGCAAGAGAGGAAUUGUCGGCCUUGGUAGCCUUGACCGACAUCGAGGUCCACGUGGUAAAUAUUUUAUUCAACCCCUUGGACUUUGAAAAGCAACCACGACGCUGUAAACAAACUCUAUGGACACAGUUGAUUUUCAUGACAGGAUCUUUCUCUACCGUUUGAUUUAUCCUACAGGAUCUAACGUGAGGAAUUUAUUAACACGGUCUACAAUCCCCGCCAUCGGAUUCAGCUGAAACCACGGGAGGGCUCUAAAAUUAAUAGAGUAAAUUACUCUUUCAGUCCUUCAGUUUUUGACUCGGUUACAACUCAGUUCUUCUUACUUGAAAACAUGUAACCCAAUCCCCUAGACUCACUCUUGAUUAUUUUUUUAUUUUUUUUUUUUGAAAUCUCAAUUUGACUGGAAAAAAUUAUUAUCCACCUGGUCUCUUCACACAUACAUAACCUAGUCUUAUGUAACUUGUUUGGGAUUAUAGUAAUAUUGGCGGUUCAAAAUAUUUUUCGCUUAGAAAUACAUCAAAAUAAUAUUUUUUUAUUUUUAAAAUUUAUUUUUGAGAUUAGCACAUCAAAACGAUUUAAAAAUAUAAUUUUUUUUUAAAAUUUUAAAAAACAUAAUUUGCACCACAUCAACCGACUAGCUUUUGUUGGUGCUUCUUGCUAGCAGCAAUUUCUCCUCCUUUUUUAUAAUCUUAAAUUAAAGUAUUUUUUAUUCUUCGUGUCAUUAAAAAAUAAUUAUUUAAAAAAAUAAUUUUGUCAAAGUUUUAACUAUUUAUUGUAAUUAUUUGUUGUUUUAUCUUUUCUUUUUUUAAUAUAUUGACUUUUUAAAUGAUUAAAUGAGAUUGACAUAAAUCAUAAUAUUAUAAUUCAUUUAUUUAAAUAGUUAAAUUAUUUAGUAUCCGUUUAUUUAUGCUGGCAAUCAUUGUUGGCCGCAAAAACAGACAAGCACUUUAGUCCAAGGUUUAGAGAAAAUUGAAAAUGAGUAAAAAGGACUAAUUUAUAACUUUUCAAAUAUGAAGCAUUGAAUUUAAUACUAUAUUAAUUAAAAAUGAAAAAAAGGUAAAGACCAGACCGAGAUUGAGGGAAAGAAAGAAGGAAAGGCGCCGCCGUGCUGGUUUUCGUUUAAAUUUUUCGAAUCGCAUUUUGCUUCCUCUGGCGCCGCCUUCGUGCUGGUUCUCGUUUUCGAUUUGUCUUUUUCUGCCUCUGGCGUUCCUGCGCAGCUCGAAAGUUUUCUACCUUUCGCUUUCAUUUCUUCUCUAGAUCUCUCUAGAGCAAUCCAUCCAUCGGCUUUCUCAUUCAUUUCUAGCAUUGCUACCACGUUUCCCUCUCGAAGGUACUUGUUUCUCUGCUCGUAUUGUUAUCGAUCUUGUCGUCCUUUUGAUCAUCAAUCUGUCCUGCUAGAUUUUUCCCCGAAAUGAUCGAUUGACUCGGUAAAUAAUUCGUUCUUUUUGCUUGCUAGAUAGAUACCGUUGCUCCACAGGAAAAUUCUCUUAUUUGUCGACUCGAAACUGCAACGAUAACACACUAUAAUGGCAAACGCAUUGCAAUUUUCGGCGACUGUACAAGCUGCCUCCCCUGUUUUCUCCAAGAGGAUGCAUUGCCAAUCUUUACGGCACAGGCCGUCGCCGCCGCUUAAUUAUAAUUUAGUGGCUACAAGUUUGGUACUGUCAAAAAGAAGUCGUAGAGCCUUUAAAGUGAGCUGUGAGGCAGCCAGUGUUGAUCUACUUGAAACGAACAAAAUCGAUAAUGAAGCCGAGAAGAAAAUAACAUGCGUAAUGAAGUUCGGUGGUUCUUCGGUGGCGUCUGCCGAGAGAAUGAGAGAAGUGGCUGAACUUAUACUUAGCUUUCCAAAUGAGAGCCCUGUCAUUGUACUUUCUGCCAUGGGAAAGACCACUAACAAACUUUUGCUGGUAUGCCUGCCUGCCUGCCUGUACUUUGAUUUUCUGUUGUUUUAUUUAUUUUUCGAGGGGAAAUUUUUUUUAAUAUGGUCAACUUAAUUAUAGGCUGGAGAGAAGGCUGUUAGUUGCGGUGUUACUAAUGUAGAUAGUAUUGAAGAGCUGAGUUUCAUAAAGGAAUUGCAUAACCGGUGAGGAUUUUGAUUUUUGCUUCUUUUUUACUUUUAUUAUUGUUCCACGAACCAUAUAAUUCAAUUGAUAUUAUUCUAUCAUAUCAGGACCGUGAAGGAACUGGAAGUAGACGAGUCGGUUAUUGCAAGUGAGUAUCUGUUGGCACUCAUUUGUUUUUAAUGCUUCAAACUUGGUCUGCAGCCGAAAAGUAUUAUGAAGUUCUUCUACUUUUUAGAUAGAUAGUAUUGUAGCUGUAAUUUAUAAACUAUUAUAGAGGCAGGGAGGGGGAAUCGUAGAAUCAAGUUGUUCUUGUAAUUACAAAGCCAGCGAUGCUAGGACUCAUACUAUUUCCUUUAUCAAUUCUUUAGCCUCAUGGACAAGUGGAAACCUCUCAUGCUGCUCCUUUUGCAGAACACUUGGAGGAAUUAGAGCAGCUGUUGAAGGGAAUUGCUAUGAUGAAAGAGUUGACUCCACGCACUAGAGAUUACCUUGUUUCUUUUGGGGAGUGCAUGUCCACAAGGAUUUUUGCUGCAUAUAUGAAUAAAAUUGGUGCUAAAGCUCGCCAAGUACGCAGUUCUCUUCUUCUCUCCCCUUUUCCUUUUUUAAACCAUCUUAAUCUGAAUGAUUGUUGUCAUUGCUUGUAAAGAUUUCUUGCUAAGCUGCUUAUUGAAUCCACAUGCCUACAACGACAACUAGAUAUUUUAAAUCAAACAUCUGUUGAUCUCCAUUUUCUGUAAUUGCUUAUACAGUAAUCAUUCAACCACGCUGAAAAACAGCAGCAGAACAAUUUGUUUGGAGUCUACUCAUACUUGGUUCCACUUUCUUUCAAUUAUAAAUGUAGUGUAAGGUUUCGGAUAGAGAACUUGGAGAGAGAAGAGGGAGACAGACAGACAGCUUGAUAGGAAUUUUAUAUGUUUUAUGGAUCAAAUGGAUGGUAUUAUCUAUCAUAAACUAAGGGGGUGCAUGGGCAAAAUAUAAGAUUUUCUCAGAUUGUGUCAUUUGACUAUAUGAUUGGAAAGGUUUUAACAAUCACGUGUUUAAUGUGAAUUCUUAAUCCAGUAUAAUAAAUUACCAAUCAUGGUAGCCUCAUAUUUCAACACAAAUAAAAAGAUGUAAAAUCAAUAACAAUUAAAAGUUUCAAGGGUUUGCCAUGUAAUAUGUUUAUACUAUUCAGUGAUUAAAUUUUAAUAGAAUGAAAUAAACCUUAUAUCUUUUGUUUCUUAUUGGAACAAUUGUACGUAGCAGUAAUCAAGAUAAAGAAUCACCUGGACUAUGGUAACUAGUUUUGGAAGAGGAGUGCAGCUAUUGCUCAAAGCUGCUUAAAAACUUUUCUGAUCUACUCAGAUUUGUGGUAUUAUUAUGCCACGAAAAAUAUCCAAAUUGUUAAUAUAUGAUACUAAAGAUGGAUCAAAGAUGACAGUAGACCUAUAGUUUCCUCUCAUGAAGAUUUGGUGUAUUUUAGAUGGAGAAAAGUGAAGAUAAAAGUGCAUUGCAGUACUGCAGUCAUUUUAUAAAUAACAAGACGCCCAUGGUGUUACUAUUUUGGGAUUUUACUGUGACAUGAACAGUAUCCUGAUGACAGCACUAUAAUAAGUUGUAUUUUCCCCUUCUGUUUUGCAGUAUGAUGCUUUCGAAAUUGGUUUUAUCACCACAGAUGACUUCACAAAUGCAGACAUUCUUGAAGCAACUUAUCCGGCUGUUGCAAAGAGUUUGCAUGGAGACUGGAUCAGUGAUCCUGCAAUUCCUAUUGUUACCGGCUUCCUUGGAAAGGUCUUUGCCCUAGCUAAUUGCUCAGCAGGACACCUUGUUUGUGAAAUUAAUGAACUCAGUUUUAGUGAGAGUUUCUGGAUAGCUCAUCAUAGUGUUUUUUUAUAUUUCUAAUUGCAGGGAUGGAGAUCCUGUGCUAUUACUACAUUAGGUCGUGGUGGUAGUGAUUUGACAGCCACAACCAUUGGAAAAGCAUUAGGUUUGAGUGAGAUUCAGGUAAUUGCAGACACUGAAGUUUGCAAUACAUAGUGCAGCUCCAAGGAAUUUUUCCAUAACUUCCCCUCCCAAAUACAACAAAUCGCAUCAAUAUUAAGUCCUCCAUUUGUUUAUUUAGUCAGAUUUUAUUAAUUAAUAUAAAAAGCUAAAGAGAAAGCUGACCAUUAAAAACACAAGAUCCAGUAACCUGAACAACAUCACAAGUCUGUUCAUCUAGGAGACAAGUGAUGGCUGAACUCACUAAAGCACCAUUACCUCAAGCACCACAGGAAAGAAAGCCCAAAACCCAAGAAUAAACUCUGGUGUCUGCCACAAGAAAUCAUAGCAAAAAGCAAGAUCAUUCCCCCCCCCCCCUCCCCCACUCCAGCUGCUGUCAUUAUCCUCUUGUCACUCAGCCUUAAUUCCCGCAGCUCUAGUUUUCUUAAAAUGCCAAUACAACCACCAACACUACCAUCACCUUUGGCACCAACAUCAGCACUACCUCAAUACUGCAGCCUAAUCUACCAGCGAACACAAACACCAAUACACCCACACCACUUUGCAGUUAGUCAAUACCACCACCUAAGUCCUCAUAGCCUAGCCCUCCAAAACCAUAAAACCACCAAUCUAAACAACACCACCACUCCCAAACCACCAGCACCACCACUCAAUCCUCAAUGACUGCUGCCCAUCAUAUUCAGCAACACAAGAAAUCACACCACCUUCUCCACAACCCGAGACCAUUGACUCCACCAGCCUUACCGCCACCUCACUACCAGUCAAAAUACCAAAGCACUAACACCUCCAGUGAAACCCAAAUGUAAAGCAUAAAAUGCCAUAGAUGGUUUUAAUUUCAAGCAAGAGAGGGAAGAAAAGGAGGACAGGAAACCUAGAUCCAAGAACAAGGAUAGGAAACUCAGAUCUGAAGACUAUCAAAAUUAUGAAAAAAGUGAGAGAGAAGAGAAUAGAGACAGAAGGAGAGGAACCAACUAGAACUAAUAUUCACUGUUUUUCCAUAAUCCAUACAGAUAUUGGGAAAAGAUGGCCGUGUCUCAACUGCAUGCACAUGCUUGACAUUAUUCCUGUUUCUUAUAUUUUCUGUGACUGUCUUUCUUCAUUCAAGUGCAUUUACAAAUGAAAUGUAAGCAUGCAAGAGAAUGCUUUUUCUGGAAAAUAUAGAACUGUGCUGAAUUUGAUGGAAGCCUCUUAAAUCUAUUUCUGUAGAAAUUACAUUUUUUUUUAUUGAAAUCAGAUUAAUACUUUUAUCUAUUAUAGGUGUGGAAGGAUGUUGAUGGUGUUUUGACAUGUGAUCCUAAUAUAUAUCCACAUGCUGAACCUGUGCCAUACUUGACAUUUGAUGAGGCAGCAGAACUAGCAUAUUUUGGCGCGCAGGUAUCAUAAUUUAACUUUACAUUUCCCUUUUUUUGGCCCUGGGGGGGGCCCUUUUUUUGGCUUUGGGGGGGGGGGGGGGGUGGAUGAGCAAAUUCUAGCGGAAGUAGAAACAGACAGCCUAAGCAAGCAUGUCUUCUCUAACCUUUUUGUUUGUACAUUUCUGCAGGUCUUGCAUCCGCAAUCCAUGAGGCCUGCCAGGGAGGCUGAUAUUCCUGUUAGGGUUAAAAAUUCUUACAAUCCGAAUGCUCCUGGAACUCUUAUCACCAGAGCACGAGAUAUGAGUAAGGUUUGUAUUUGAUGAUUUUAAAUGAUUGUAAUGUGAAGAACUUAGAAUAAAAUUAAUCUUUCUUUGUCCUAAUUUCAGGCAGUACUAACUAGCAUUGUUUUGAAACGGAAUGUUACUAUGUUGGAUAUUGCUAGCACCCGCAUGCUUGGCCAAUUUGGUUUUCUUGCUAAGGUUAGCAGCUAAAAUUGGAUUCUGAUCCCUCUUUCCCUCAAAUAUGCCAGCUGUUGGUUUAUGCUUCUCAUUGCUAUAAAUUUUAUCCUUUCAGGUGUUUUCAACCUUUGAAGAUUUGGGAAUAUCAGUGGAUGUUGUAGCUACCAGCGAAGUCAGUAUCUCCUUGACACUCGAUCCAUCAAAGCUUUGGAGUAGAGAGCUGAUUCAGCAGGCAAGCGUAUGGUGUCUUUAUUUUAGUUAUGAUUUAUAUAUUGGUAUUAUUCUCCAGCAUGAUAUAUUAUUCGUGUCUACUCUUGGCAUUCAAUCUCAUCUGUUGUUGUAUUCCUUAAACAGGAACUCGACCAUGUUGUUGAGGAGCUUGAGAAAAUUGCUGUAGUCAAUCUCCUGCAGCGUAGAUCAAUAAUCUCUCUCAUUGGGAAUGUCCAGAGGUCCUCUCUGAUAUUAGAGAAGGUGCUCCAUUGCACUUUUCUUCUUGGUUUUUGAUGAGAUGUGUCUUUUGAAAACUUGUUUCUGCUUUGGGUGAAAAAAGGAUUCUUUUUUUUUUCCUCCUGUCCUCUAACUACAAAUCUAUUCAAGUAUCAUCUAGAUUGCUUUUGUUCGGUGAUGAGAAUCCUGUCUCUUCUUUUGGAUCUUUUAGUUUUUGUCCCCCUCAUUCUCUUGAAGUCUAACAUGUUGGGUUAGUGAAUCAUGGUAAAUGCUUUGUUAAAAUUGAUAAAACCGAACCAGCAGCAACUUCAAAAUGAUGAAGUGGGAUAGAUAGAUUUUUUUAAAAAAUGCUUUUCAGUCAUUUUUUUUUUUUAAAAAAUCAUAGCUCAGCAUAAAUCUUACAUGACCUGGAAGGAAGUUUCAAAGGACACUUGGUUGUUAUAUUGAAGCAUAGUCUUAUGCUACAACUUUUUUCUUAAUAUAUUUCACAGCAGUGUUUGGAAUGCUGUGGUGAAGGGUUUGAACCUCAUCUUUCUAUUUAUUUGCCUCUUCAUUUCUGUUAAUUAUUGGAUUGAUGUCAUGGCAGGCCUUCCAUGUUCUUCGUACUCUUGGAGUCAAUGUUCAGAUGAUAUCACAGGGUGCUUCGAAGGUAUCACAUCUCGACUAUGAUUUCCUUUGCAUGUCUUUUUUAGUAUGUAAUGCACAUUUUACAGCUUUAGAACCCAAGAAUAGGCUUGUGAGCACCUCUCAUGCACAUUAUAUUCCUUCAAAGGAUCCAGGAGCCGCCUUAAAUGGGGGCAUCCGGCUCAUUAAGCGUGGAGCUCGAAUGCUUCUAAGCGGUUUGAUGAUUGUCGUGAUCAAGUAACUCGCCAUUUUGGUUUUUUCUUACCAGGUUAAUAUCUCAUUAAUUGUGAAUGACGAUGAAGCAGAGCAGUGUGUCAAGAGUCUCCACAAAGCUUUCUUUGAAACUGACAUCUCUGAAUUAGAGUGGGAGUGUGUAUCUGGUAAUGGUUCUGCCUCAACAUGAUGAAGUCGUCAUUGAUUCUUUUUUCUAUUAGAUUUCUUAAUUACAAUGAGAAUGUGUUGGCAAUGUCUGUCUCAACAUGAUCAUGAUCAUUGAUUUUCCUGUUUUAAUCCUUUUGACCUAGAUAUUCAUUCAAUAUCUGAUUUUACAUAGAUCAGGGAAUUGUUUCCCUCCUAAGAUUAAGAUGUAGCCAAUUUUGUACGUUGAAUCCCUCCAGGGUUGAUCUAGCCAAGUUUGGACUGAUCGAGUGGAUCAAUUAGACUUGAUUUGAUUAAUAUUUUUUUUGGAUCAAAUUAAAACUCGGACUGGAUCGGACUCUAAAUUAUGAAUUUUUUGGGUCACUUUACUGGUCCGGACCGAGUUUAAUAACUAUUUCAAAAUAUAUAAAAUAUCUGCAAGAACUGCAUUCUGGAUUUUAUUUGCUUUUGUGAUAGCCAUCUAGUUGUUCUAGAAUAGAAGGAAAUUUUUUUUAAGAUGUUUUAAUUAUAUCAAUAGUUUAUUUUGUUAUUUUUAAUUAAUUGUAAAAUAACUUUUAGUCUUUACAUAGAUGAUAUAUCAUUGAUGAAAAGAGAUUAUGCCUUAAUAUGGCAUAUUUUAGAUUUUAAAAAGCAUUUAUUUUAUUUUAAAAUAUUUCUAUUUAUUGAAAAUAAUCAUAUUUUAGAAGGUACUUUUACUAAAAAGCCACAAAUUAUAUAAUAUAAGAAUGGGUUAGAACCCACAAAUUUUAUUUAUAUUUAAAUUCAUUUUGAGUUUGUAGGUUAGAAGUGGAGUUAUUGAGGAGGUUUCUAUGGUUUUUUUUUCAGGUGUUUUUAGGUGAAAAAUAGGUUCAAAGUUGGGUUUUCGGAUCCAAAUUUCCCAGGCCCUAAUUUUUUCGAUCAUUGAAUAUAGUCGAAAUUUGUUUUAAUAGAGUAAACAUUAUCUGUCUAAAUAGACGACGUGUUAUUUAUUUGUUUGUUUUUAAAAAGAAGCAAACAAACAAUGUCGUCUGCUUGAGUUAAAAAAACACACGCGGACUUGGACUUUUGAGUUCAUGGGCGCACUUAGACUCUUACCUUUUUAGGGUCAGGCCAUGGGCCUCAUCGUCUAAGAAAGCUCAAGAGCCUAGGCUUGACAAUGUUGGCUUUUCCUUUCUCUUUCUUUCUCCUAAGUUAAUUGUUUUUGGAAUAUUUUUUAUAUUUUUUUAACAUUCUAAAUUAAAUCCUUUUUGUAAUAAAGCAAUUACAAUGAUAGUUUAAAAAUCACAUGAUGAUACCUUGCUUUUCAAAUAAGUAAGUUCGAAGGUUUUAAUAGUAAUGUUAAUAAUUAUUUUAUAAAUAAUUAUAUGUGAAACUAAUAUGUAUAUUUUUUUUAAAAAAUCUCUCAUAAAUAUUUAAUGAUACUUAAAUAACUUUUUUUAUUAUAAAAUAUUUUUUAUUUUUUAAAAAUUAACUAUUCCUUUAUUUUCAUAUUCAUACUAUAAAUUUAUCAAAAUAUAAUUUUUAAUUUCUUUUCUAUUCGAACUUAUUUUUCAAAUCAGGAUAAGUCUUUAUAAAAAACCAUACUAUUAAUAAAAAAAUAAUUAUAUAUAUAUUAAAAAAGAAACACUUAAACAAAAACAAAUUUAGCUAGAGGAACUUUUUGAAAAGAUUUAUAGAAAAAAAUAGUUUAAUCGAAUUGGCCUCAACAAUUUCUUGAAAAAAAUUAAUUAUAACUUUUUUGAAACUUUUUCAUGUCAAAAAUGCAUUGUUUCUUAAUUUGUUAUGAAAAUAAUUAUGUCUUCAUGUAUCAUAUAAAUUGACUUAUGUACACAUACCAAAGUUUUAUUUUAUAAUACAAAAUUUAAAAUUAAAGAAAUAAAAAUUAAUAGCAUAAAUACUACCGUGGGAAUAACAAGAAACAACUUCUAUAUUAUGGUAUCUCGGACAUCACUUAGAAUCAAGAUUGUCAAUUCUGUUUUUGAUAAGUAUUUUUAUUUAUUAAUUGAAACGUCACUUCGAGAUUGUAAUAUAUAUAUAUAUAUAUAUAUAUAUAUAUAUAUAUAUAUUAAUUUCAGCUAUUACAUCAAUGCGAUUAUUAAAGUAAAAUGGAACUUGAACAUCACAGAUGCCAAUCAAGAUCACUGGCCCAAUCAAGUCAAUCAUAAAGUAUAAACAGUGUAUUCUCCAUGUGUGUGUGUGUGUGUGUAAUUGACUGGUAAGCUCAUGGCUUGCAAAUACAAGGACAUAGGUCAGAGUCUUGUAGGCACCCGCUUCAUCAGGAAGAAAAUAUAAUGAAAGAAAUGAUGAAGUGAGGAAUUCAAUUGCCCGCUCCUUCAAUACCAUUUUAGAAGGUUCAAGAUAGUUUCAUGAACUAAUAAUCUCAAACUGAAGACUUCAACCACCGUGCUAUGCAAUAACAUCCAGACAUGUAACCACAGUAUAGUUAUUCCACCACUUUUAUCAAUACAAUUGUUAAUUAUACUUGAUCAUAAAGUUCAUGAACAAGCCAAUUUACCUUAGAUUGCUAAUCCUAGAGACUAUAGAAUCCGAACUGUGGUUGGAAUGUGACUUCAGUGAUGGUGAUAGUGCUGGUAAUCAUUAUGAUGAACAUAUAGAUAUGCUCAAGUUCCGAUCAAAGACCGCACAAGGGAAUGGAAUUACGAGCAGAGAUUUUUCAAAUUGAAUUAAAAAUUUAAAACCACUCGUACCUUGAGGAUCUGAGUAUUUAUGGUCUAUGCAGAAAGUUUAAUACUGUUGAACUUCCAAGACGCUAGAAUAAAGAUACUGGAAAGUUCAAUGCAUCUAGAAAGAAGGUUCCAGAUAGCUUUGUAACAGAAGCCAUUUAUGAUCAAAAUACACUGCAUCUAAGAACUUCUUUCAACUCUAAGAUGAACUGAAAUACCACUCUAAAUCAAUUCUUGCACACACCUCCUUAAGAAAGCUUAGAUUACUAGAUCAAAGUUCCAAGAUUGUACCUUAUAAAGAACAGACAAGAGCCAGGGAUGGAAGGCGGAAGGUGAUGUUGCGGCAGUGCAGCAUGCAAGACAGCAAGAGAGAAGAGGGAAGAUUGGAGGGGGAGGUUGUGAAAGACAAGAUGCUGAUUGUAAUUGUUUUGGUUGGGAACUUGAGAUGAGACUGUGCGAGGAAGAGAAAUUAGGGAUUGGUUUUUGGUACAGACUUCAAACUUGAGAGAAGAAGAGCUUUUAUACGUAGGUGGUUUAGUUAAUGAAAUCGAACUUUAAGCCCGAAACGGUAUAUAUGGAAGGAGACUGGAAAGUUCUGCCUGAAAUUUGUCUGGAAAUUUCUGGAAUAAGAGACCGAGAUUUUAAGUGAGGUGAAAAUUAUUCUGUUUUGUUUCAUUUCUUGAACUGGUACGAGAUGUUCCGGUCAUUCCGGCCGAAAUGGAACGAAUUUAUAAAGAAUUCGUUUCAGACAACCCGAUCUCAUAAAUAUCCAAACCCGAAUCCGCCCCGUUUUAUAAAAUAUCCAAACCCGUAACCUCCCCGGCUAAAGUAUAAAAACCAAAACACAC
rnacentral:lncRNA from 1 species